rnacentral:rRNA from 1 species
GACGGGGCCCGCACAAGCGGUGAGUAUGUGGUUUAAUUCGACGCAACGCGCAGAACCUUACCUAGACUUGACAUCCCGGGAUUUCUGGAAACAGAGAAGUGCUUUAGCAAUAAAGAACCCGGUGACAGGUGCUGCAUGGCUGUCGUCAGCUCGUGUCGUGAGAUGUUGGGUUAAGUCCCGCAACGAGCGCAACCCUCGCCGUUAGUUGCCAUCAUUCAGUUGGGCACUCUAGCGAGACUGCCGGUAAUAAACCGGAGGAAGGUGGGAUGACGUCAAAUCAUCAUGCCCCUUAUGACCUGGGCUACACACGUGCUACAAUGGUUGGUACAACGAGUUGCGAGUCGGUGACGGCGAGCUAAUCUCUUAAAGCCAAUCUCAGUUCGGAUUGUAGGCUGCAACUCGCCUACAUGAAGUCGGAAUCGCUAGUAAUCGCGGAUCAGCACGCCGCGGUGAAUACGUUCCCGGGCCUU